CGUCUAUAUACGUAUAGCAUAUCAAUAAGCGGAGGAAAAGAAACUAACAAGGAUUCCCUUAGUAACGGCGAGUGAAGCGGGAAGAGCUCAAAUUUGAAAUCUUCAAGGUUCUACCUUGACGAAUUGUAGUUUAAAGAAGUGUUUUCUGUUAGAGGAGUAGCAAAAGUUCCUUGGAAUAGGGACAUCAUAGAGGGUGAGAAUCCCGUAUUUGGUUAUUCUUUCUAGCUGUGUGAUACACUUUCAAAGAGUCGGAUUGUUUGGGAAUGCAGUCCAAAAUGGGUGGUAAAUUUCAUCUAAAGCUAAAUAUUGGCGAGAGACCGAUAGCGAACAAGUACCGUGAGGGAAAGAUGAAAAGAACUUUGAAAAGAGAGUUAAACAGUACGUGAAAUUGUCAAAAGGGAAGCGUUUGACACCAGUGUUGUUUUUCCGAAAAUCAAUUAAGAAGUGACUUGAUUUUGUGUUGUAUUGACCUUAUCAGCUUUCUUCACUCUUUUUCGAGUCUUUCUUAAUGCACUUUUCGGUUAACAAGUCAACAUCAAUUUCUUUUGUUGUAAAAGGGUAUUUGGAAGGUGGCUUUCUUUUCGGAGAAAGUGUUUAUAGCCUUAUACCUCUACAAUCGGAGAGAUUGAGGUCUGCAGCGUAGAUCCUUCGGGGCUAGAUACACUUGUGCUAAGUUAUAGCUUUUCAUAGACAACUUGUUGACUAUGUUUAGUCAUGUAGCUUACCCGCUUGUGCUAUUUUACCUACGCUUAGGAUGUUGAGUCAUCACACAUCUCU
rnacentral:rRNA from 1 species